rnacentral:lncRNA from 1 species
CCCCUUCCCCGGCCGGGGCGGCUGGAGAGCCCGGAGUCGCUGGGUGCGCGGGGCUGCCUGGCAGCGCCUCGCCACGGGCUCUGCCAGCAGACAGCCUUGGCACACAGGCACAAGAGCUGGAGCCCAGAGAUGAGAGUGCCCACAGGAGGUAACCGUCCUGCAGGUCGUCGCUGUCUUCUGCUCACUUCUGCCUUGCCUGCUUUGAGCUCUUUUCUUCAGCCUUGGCCUGGUCUGAUCAAGGACUGCCACUCUGGCCGUGCAACCUUGGACAAGCUGCUUCAUCUCUUUGAGCUUAGAUAUUGCAGGGAAAAUGCUUUAGCAGUUUAUGCUCCAUAAAUGCAAACACCUUUGCUGAACAUAAAAUGCUGAAGCUGGCUGGGUGCAUUGGCUCACACCUGUAAUCCCAGCACUUUGGGAGGCCGAGGCGGGCAGAUCACCUGAGGUCAGGAGUUCGAGACCAACCUGGCUAACAUGGUGAAACCCCAGCUCUACUAAAAAUACAAAAAAAAAUUAGCCAAGGUGGGGACGCUGUCACUGAAAUCCUAAUAACUGACAGAAUUCUAGUCACAGGUCUCGGGAGAAUUUCACUGAGCUUCUGAUGAAGAGAAGGGGUCAUUGCAGGAAUUUCUGAAUGGCUUCAUGUCCUGUUCAGCCUGCCUCCCCCCAGGAAGUAGCCCUGAAAUAGCUUUCCCCAUUGCAGACCCUGAAUCGAGGGUACACAUGAAGCCCCAACCUCUUCAGCAGAACUUCAUCAGCACGUUUUUCUGAAGAGAGGGAAAUUAACCAAGGCACAGAGAGGCCGGUGACCCCAGCCUGAGAUCCAUCUCUGCUUUGUCAGCUGCUUCUCACAUUUCCACAGCAGCCUCUGAGGUCAGUGGAUCCACUCUGAUUUUGCAGCUGAAGAGACUGUGGCUAAGAUGAGAAAGUGACUCUCCCAAGCCACACGGCCAGGAAGCCCUAGUCUCUUAGCAGUUUCCACCCCAGGCCUGAGACUGUGUUCCCUCCCCUUUGAUGGUUAUUUUCUACCUGCUAUAGCCUGAGAGGGCCCAGGCAGCCCAAGCCCUUGCAGGUGGAUAGGCCCAGCCGCAGACUGGGUCCUUGGGUGGUUUUGGGUGGAACCUCACAUCCAAAGAGGCGUGCUGUCUUCCCACGGGCUUCCACCAGACCCUCCAUUCACUAAGUCACUCUCAGUUCCCCAAUCAUGCUGCGUCCUUUCCUGCCUGUGGCUCUGCACUGGCUAUUCCCUUUGCUGGGAACGUCCUUCUUUCCCUUCUCCACCUGCCUGUUUCCUACCCACCGCUCAAAAUUCUGCAUGAAGGCUACCUCCUGCAGGAGGCCUUCCCUCACCUAGGCAGGUAGAACCCAUCAGUCUCUCAGGCACACGUCCAUAGUAAGAGUAGGCUUGGGAGGCUGAGGUUCCCAGCACAUAGCGGGUGCCCAUUACAUGUUGGAAUAAGUAAAUAACCAAUGAUUAUGGUAGAACUCACUAAUCUUCUUGGGCCAGAUGGGGUAGCUCAUGCCUGUAAUCCCAUCAUUUUGGGAGGCUGAGGUGGGAGGAUCACUUGAGGCCAGUAGUUUGAGACCAGCCUGGG